CAGCCGCCACGGGAAUACAGAGGGUGCGAGCGUUAAUCGGAUUUACUGGGCGUAAAGCGUGCGUAGGCGGCUUCUUAAGUCGGAUGUGAAAUCCCUGAGCUUAACUUAGGAAUUGCAUUCGAUACUGGGAAGCUAGAGUAUGGGAGAGGAUGGUAGAAUUCCAGGUGUAGCGGUGAAAUGCGUAGAGAUCUGGAGGAAUACCGAUGGCGAAGGCAGCCAUCUGGCCUAAUACUGACGCUGAGGUACGAAAGCAUGGGGAGCAAACAGGAUUAGAUACCCCAGUAGUCCCUGUCUCUUAUAA
rnacentral:rRNA from 1 species